GACGAACGCUGGCGGCGUGCUUAACACAUGCAAGUCGAACGGAAAGGCCCUGCUUUUGUGGGGUGCUCGAGUGGCGAACGGGUGAGUAACACGUGAUUAACCUGCCCUUUACUUUUGGAUAACUUCAGGAAACUGGGGCUAAUACCGGAUAGGAGCUCCUGCUGCAUGGUGGGUGUUGGAAAGUUUCGGCGGUUGGGGAUGUACUCGCGGCUUAUCAGCUUGUUGGUGGGGUAGUGGCUUACCAAGGCUUUGACGGGUAGCCGGCCUGAGAGGGUGACCGGCCACAUUGGGACUGAGAUACGGCCCAGACUCCUACGGGAGGCAGCAGUGGGGAAUAUUGCACAAUGGGCGGAAGCCUGAUGCAGCAACGCCGCGUGAGGGAUGACGGCCUUCGGGUUGUAAACCGCUUUCGCCUGUGACGAAGCGUGAGUGACGGUAAUGGGUAAAGAAGCACCGGCUAACUACGUG
rnacentral:rRNA from 1 species